rnacentral:lncRNA from 1 species
CUAGGCUUGGUUGAGCCGCGCAGGAAGGUCCGAGGCUGGGGGAGCAGCCGUUGGCUCUGGUGCCCCUGGGGGUGGGAGCACGAGUGGGCAAGGAUGAUGGUGAGGCAGAGGAGGCGGCCCCGAGGGAGCGCCCGGCUGAGAGGCGGGGGGCCGAGGGGCCCGGGGAGCGGGCGUCACCGAGGGCCCUGGAAGCGGCAGGGCUGGGGGAGAGGAGACGCGUGUGUGGAGCAUGGGGACCCCAGCCCAGCUCCCACUUGCAGACCUGGGCCGCGGGCUGCCGGCCGAGUGGCCGGGGGGCCUGGCUGCCCAGGAGGCGGGCCGGGGCCGCGGCCGGGGGCGCGGAGCGGAGUUAGGGUCGCCAGGCCGAGCCGAGGUGGGACGGACCGACGCAGAGAGGAAGGGAAGCCACCUGGCCUGAAGAUCCUGUCUCUAAGAUCCCAUUCUGAGGUCCACGCUGCUUUUAUGAGCUGUAACACUCACCGCGAAGAUCUGCAGCUUCACUCCUGAGCCCAGCGAGACCACGAGCCCACCGGGAGGAACAAACAACUCCAGACGCGCUGCCUUAAGAGCUGUAACACUUGCCGUGAAGGUCUGCAGCUUCACUCCUGAGCCAGCGAGACCACGAACCCACCAGAAGGAAGAAACUCCGAACACAUCUCAACAUCAGAACGGACAGACUCCAGACGCACCACCUUAAGAGCUGUAACACUCACCGCGAGGUUCCGCGGCUUCAUUCUUGAAAGCUAUCAGCUUCCCAGUUUGCACAAUUCAUCAAGAAAUUAUGCGGGGUCACUGGCACAAAUGAUGAGGCAUCUCCUGGAAGCUUAACUUCUUAUCCAUCCCAUCUCUUGGACAGAUGAUGCCAGUUAAUUACUUUGAAUGGGUCUGUCACACGCAGCCCAACUCAACUGGAGUCCUGAGAAGGUGAACAGACCAGGAUGGAUGGCCAGGGAACUCACCAGAAGUCCCCAGGCAUCAGAACAAGGUCGAAGCAUCCUGCCAGGUGCUCACCUUCUAGCACAUUCUUCAAGAGUUACUCUGAGGCAAGCCAGCCGCCAUGUCAUGAGGACACUCAAGCAGCACCAUGGAGAGGUCCGAUGGCGAGGAACAGAGGAUCCCCCUGCCGACAGCCAAUGAGGAACAGGCCUCCUGCCAACAGCCGUGUAAGGGGUCACCUUGGAAGCCAAUGGCCCCUCCCUGGUCAGGCUUUUACAUGACUGCAGUCCUGGCCAACAUCCUGACGGCAACCUCAUGAGAGACCUUGAGCCAGAGCCACCCACCUAAGCUGCUUAUAGGUUCCUGGCCCUCAGAAAUCACAUGAGAUCAUAAAUGUUUGCUCAAUUUGAGAUAUUUGUGAUGUAGCAAUAAAUAACAAACACACUUACCUUUCAGGGUUAUUAUGAGAAUUAAGAGUUAAUACACAUCAAACUACAACCAAACUUGCUGGGACCAGAGGCUCAAGAAAGGGCAGACAGGGCCGGGUGCAGUGGCUCAUGCCUGUAAUCCCAAUACUUUGGGAGGCCGAGGCAGGUGGAUCAUCUGAGGUCAGGAGUUCGAGACCAGCUGGCCAACAUGGUGAAACCCUGUGUCUACUAAAAAUACAAAAAUUAGCCAGGCAUGGUGGCGGACACCUGUAAUCCCAGCUACUCGGGAGGCUGAGGCAGGCCUCACUUGAACCUGAGAGCUGGAGGCUGAAGUGAGCAGAGAUCAUGCCACCGCACUCCAGCCUGGGUGACAUAGCGAGACUCCGUCUCAAAAAAAAAAAAAAAAAAAAAAAAAGAAGAAAGGGCAGACAGAAACCACAGAAGGAGGAGUGGUUAGCUAGGUCCAGGCCAGAUGGGGUCCUGCUCCUGACGUGGAUGGUUCUGGGAGACCAAAUAUGCAAAUAGACAAUGGCCAGACCACAUAUUAAAAUAGAACUCUGCCCCCAAACCUACAGCACCAGCCCAGGAAGCCAACGAACAACCCCUGCAGCAAUCAGCCCCAAAUGGCCAGGACUUGAUGGUAACUGACAGCUUCCCUAAUUUUGUUCCCACUUUCAAUGCAGGACAAACCGGAGAAAGCCAAAUAUGCUCCCCUAACCAAUUACUUAGGAUGCCCCUCUUCUAAUGAGCCCAACUGUAGCUUUCCUGCACCACCAACAGGACGUACCUGAAGCCUUCUCCUUUUUCCGCUAUAAAGCCUUCCCCUCGGCCUGCCUUUGAGUCUCCAUGAAAAGCAAGUGACAGUGGCUGCCUCCCUUACUGUAACAAGCUCUGAAUAAACAGCCUUUGCUUGCU